GACAGAGGGUGCAAACGUUUGUUCGGAAUUACUGGGCGUAAAGCGCGUGUAGGCUGCUCCGAAAGUCGGAUGUGAAAGCCCUGGGCUCAACCUAGGAAUGGCAUUGGAUACUGGCGACCUAGAGUGCGGUAGAGGGGUGUGGAAUUCCCGGUGUAGCAGUGAAAUGCGUAGAUAUCGGGAGGAACACCGGUGGCGAAGGCGGUCUUCUGGACGGUGACUGACGCUGAGGCGCGAAAGCGUGGGGAGCGAACAGG
rnacentral:rRNA from 1 species